rnacentral:piRNA from 1 species
GUGGUGGUGGUGGUGGUGGUGGUGGUCUGU